rnacentral:rRNA from 1 species
AGUGAACGCUGGCGGUAGGCCUAACACAUGCAAGUCGAACGGCAGCACAGUAAGAGCUUGCUCUUACGGGUGGCGAGUGGCGGACGGGUGAGGAAUACAUCGGAAUCUACUUUUUCGUGGGGGAUAACGUAGGGAAACUUACGCUAAUACCGCAUACGACCUACGGGUGAAAGCAGGGGAUCUUCGGACCUUGCGCGAUUGAAUGAGCCGAUGUCGGAUUAGCUAGUUGGCGGGGUAAAGGCCCACCAAGGCGACGAUCCGUAGCUGGUCUGAGAGGAUGAUCAGCCACACUGGAACUGAGACACGGUCCAGACUCCUAAGGGAGGCAGCAGUGGGGAAUAUUGGACAAUGGGCGCAAGCCUGAUCCAGCCAUACCGCGUGGGUGAAGAAGGCCUUCAGGUUGUAAAGCCCUUUUGUUGGGAAAGAAAAGCAGCAGGUUAAUACCCCGCUGUUAUGACGGUACCCAAAGAAUAAGCACCGGCUAACUUCGUG